rnacentral:misc_RNA from 1 species
UUGUGGAGGAGGACGCCGAAGGUGGGGCUAAUGACUGGGGUGAAGUCGUAACAAGGUAGCCGUACCGGAAGGUGCGGCUGGAUCACCUCCUAACAGGGAGACAACAAAAUGUUUAAUAUUAUUAUUUUGUCACCUUAGGUCGAUCGGUAUCUCACAUUCUUAAUUUAUUAAGGAUUUCAUUUCCUAAGUUUUUUCUAGGUCACACCCAUUACUUUUCCUGGGCCAUUAGCUCAGGUGGUUAGAGCGCACCCCUGAUAAGGGUGAGGUCCCUGGUUCAAGUCCAGGAUGGCCCAUAUCUCUAUGUUGGGGGUAUAGCUCAGUUGGUAGAGCGCCUGCUUUGCAAGCAGGAUGUCAGCGGUUCGAGUCCGCUUACCUCCACUGAUUACCACCUCUUCCAUAAUUUUAUUUAAGGAAAUGUUUUGAGUAGUGAUCAAAUUCUGAACGAAUCUAGCUUCCUAAUGAAUUCAUUAAGAUGCUGGACUCAUUGAAUUAUUUUCAUUGUUUUCAGAGAACCUUGACAACUGCAUAGAUUAUUUUUAAAGACAAUAAGCAUCUUUAUGAUGCAGAUUUAUUAUUUGUGCGAAUGCAUUAAUAACAAUUCUAUUAAGCUGAUGCUUCAAUUAUGAAGUUAUUGGUCAAGCUACAA